CUUCUUUGGGGUUUCUUUGACUCUGAACUUCAGGUUGCCCAGGUGUUUGGCCACAUCUAUCAGAGCCCCUGAGAGCACCUCUGGAUCUUGCAGUGUGCACUGGGCUCUGUAAUGACAAGCAGGAGUCAAUCAAGAUUUAAAUGAGCAGCUAGUCUGGCUGCCUCCUCCUCUCGCAGGAACUGGUGGAGCUUCUCAAACUCUGCCUUUAUCUGCCUCUCUGUGUGCUGGACCUGACUCUGCAAUUCAAACACACUAUUUUAAACUUGAAUAGUGUAACUAUG